rnacentral:rRNA from 1 species
GUGGGGAAUAUUGCGCAAUGGACGAAAGUCUGACGCAGCGACGCCGUGUGUGGGAGGAAGCUCUUCGGGGUGUAAACCACUGUCAGGAGGGAAGAAAGGCGCCGGUUCGAACAGUUCCGGCGAUUGACGGUACCUCCAAAGGAAGCGCCGGCUAACUCCGUGCCAGCAGCCGCGGUAAGACGGAGGGCGCAAGCGUUGUUCGGAAUUACUGGGCGUAAAGCGCGGGCAGGCGGUCUGUUAAGUCGUUUGUGAAAAUCCGGGGCUCAACCCCGCGAAAUGCAUACGAUACUGGCAGGCUGGAGACUGGUAGAGGCUAGCGGAAUUCCUGGUGUAGCGGUGGAAUGCGUAGAUAUCAGGAAGAACACCUGUGGCGAAGGCGGCUAGCUGGGCCAGUUCUGACGCUCAUCCGCGAAAGCGUGGGGAGCAAACAGGAUUAGAAACCCCAGUAGUCC